AGCGCGAGCGGAUCGUGCGCGAGAGUGGUGUGCGAGCGGUCCGGGCCGUGAGGCUGCUGUGGUGGUGCGCAGCUAGAGGGUCGCCGGAGUUGCCCCGCCGGCGAGUCUAGUGGUUCGAAACCAAUAGGUCCCAAUUUCAUAAGCGGAACGUUCGAUUAAGACAGCGAAAAUUCUCCGUUACAAGACUAGGUGUGCUGGUGCUGCUGCAUAAUCUCGAGCAUACGGGGACUAGGCUUGGGUAUUUACAUUUAAAGCAUUUUGAAAUAAGUAUUAUUGGUUUUUCUAAGACUUAUAUAUGGUUUGUGGUUUGAAUGAAAGGGGUCAUUGAUGAUUCCCGAGUUGUAUUUAUA